CCUACGGGUGGCUGCAGUGGGGAAUAUUGCACAAUGGGCGCAAGCCUGAUGCAGCCAUGCCGCGUGUGUGAAGAAGGCCUUCGGGUUGUAAAGCACUUUCAGCGGGGAGGAAGGCGUUAAGGUUAAUAACCUUGGCGAUUGACGUUACCCGCAGAAGAAGCACCGGCUAACUCCGUGCCAGCAGCCGCGGUAAUACGGAGGGUGCAAGCGUUAAUCGGAAUUACUGGGCGUAAAGCGCACGCAGGCGGUCCGUCAAGUCGGAUGUGAAAUCCCCGGGCUCAACCUGGGAACUGCAUUCGAAACUGGCAGGGUAGAGUCUUGUAGAGGGGGGUAGAAUUCCAGGUGUAGCGGUGAAAUGCGUAGAGAUCUGGAGGAAUACCGGUGGCGAAGGCGGCCCCCUGGACAAAGACUGACGCUCAGGUGCGAAAGCGUGGGGAGCAAACAGGAUUAGAUACCCCGGUAGUC
rnacentral:rRNA from 1 species